GGAGUACGGCCGCAAGGUUAAAACUCAAAUGAAUUGACGGGGCCCGCACAAGCGGUGGAGCAUGUGGUUUAAUUCGAUGCAACGCGAAGAACCUUACCUACUCUUGACAUCCAGAGAAUUUAGCAGAGAUGCUUUAGUGCUUUCGGGAACUCUGAGACAGGUGCUGCAUGGCUGUCGUCAGCUCGUGUUGUGAAAUGUUGGGUUAAGUCCCGCAACGAGCGCAACCCUUAUCCUUUGUUGCCAGCACAUUAUGGUGGGAACUCAAAGGAGACUGCCGGUGAUAAACCGGAGGAAGGUGGGGAUGACGUCAAGUCAUCAUGGCCCUUACGAGUAGGGCUACACACGUGCUACAAUGGCGUAUACAAAGAGAAGCGACCUCGCGAGAGCAAGCGGAACUCAUAAAGUACGUCGUAGUCCGGAUUGGAGUCUGCAACUCGACUCCAUGAAGUCGGAAUCGCUAGUAAUCGUAGAUCAGAAUGCUACGGUGAAUACGUUCCCGGGCCUUGUACACACCGCCCGUCACACCAUGGGAGUGGGUUGCAAAAGAAGUAGGUAGCUUAACCUUCGGGAGGGCGCUUACCACUUUGUGAUUCAUGACUGGGGUGAAGUCGUAACAAGGUAACCA
rnacentral:rRNA from 1 species